rnacentral:rRNA from 1 species
UGGGGAAUAUUGCACAAUGGGGGAAACCCUGAUGCAGCGACGCCGCGUGAGCGAAGAAGUAUUUCGGUAUGUAAAGCUCUAUCAGCAGGGAAGAAAAUGACGGUACCUGACUAAGAAGCCCCGGCUAACUACGUGCCAGCAGCCGCGGUAAUACGUAGGGGCAAGCGUUAUCCGGAUUUACUGGGUGUAAAGGGAGCGCAGGCGGUCUUGCAAGUCUGAUGUGAAAGCCCGCGGCUCAACCGCGGGACUGCAUUGGAAACUGUAGGACUUGAGUGUCGGAGGGGCAAGUGGAAUUCCUAGUGUAGCGGUGAAAUGCGUAGAUAUUAGGAGGAACACCAGUGGCGAAGGCGGCUUGCUGGACGACAACUGACGCUGAGGCUCGAAAGCGUGGGGAGCAAACAGGAUUAGAUACC